UGGGGAAUUUUGGGCAAUGGCCGAAAGGCUGACCCAGCGACGCCGCGUGUGGGAGGAAGCCCUUCGGGGUGUAAACCACUGUCAGGGGGGACGAACGAGGUGGGAGGUAAUCCUUUCCGCCUGUGACGGUACCCCCAAAGGAAGCGCCGGCUAACUCUGUGCCAGCAGCCGCGGUAAUACAGAGGGCGCAAGCGUUGUUCGGAAUUACUGGGCGUAAAGCGCGCGCAGGCGGAACGUGCAAGUCCGAAGUGAAAUCUCGCCGCUCAACGGCGAGGCUGCUUUGGAGACUGUCGAUCUAGGGACCGGUAGAGGCUGGUAGAAUUGCAGGUGUAGCGGUGGAAUGCGUAGAGAUCUGCAAGAAUACCCGUGGCGAAGGCGGCCAGCUGGGCCGGGUCCGACGCUGAGGCGCGAAAGCGUGGGGAGCAAACAG
rnacentral:rRNA from 1 species